CCCUUAGAUGUCCUGGGCCGCACGCGCGCUACAAUGACACGUUCAACAAGUACUUUCCUGGCUUGGAAAAGUUUCGGGUAAUCUUUAUAAUACGUGUCGUGCUGGGGAUUGAUCUUUGGAAUUAUAGAUCUUGAACAAGGAAUUCCUAGUAAGCAUAAGUCAUCAGCUUGUGCUGAAUACGUCCCUGCCCUUUGUACACACCGCCCGUCGCUCCUACCGAUUGAGCGAUCCGGUGAAUGUUUUGGACUGGUGUCCGCAAGCGUUUCGCUUCGGACGCUACGAAAUUUUGUAAACCUUAUCGCUUAGAGGAAGGAAAAGUCGUAACA
rnacentral:rRNA from 1 species